CCUACGGGAGGCAGCAGUGGGGAAUAUUGGGCAAUGGGCGCAAGCCUGACCCAGCAACGCCGCGUGAAGGAAGAAGGCUUUCGGGUUGUAAACUUCUUUUAAGGGGGAAGAGCAGAAGACGGUACCCCUUGAAUAAGCCACGGCUAACUACGUGCCAGCAGCCGCGGUAAUACGUAGGUGGCAAGCGUUGUCCGGAUUUACUGGGUGUAAAGGGCGUGCAGCCGGAGAGACAAGUCAGAUGUGAAAUCCACGGGCUCAACCCGUGAACUGCAUUUGAAACUGUUUCCCUUGAGUGUCGGAGAGGUAAUCGGAAUUCCUUGUGGAGCGGUGAAAUGCGUAGAUAUAAGGAAGAACACCAGUGGCGAAGGCGGAUUACUGGACGAUAACUGACGGUGAGGCGCGAAAGCGUGGGGAGCAAACAGGAUUAGAUACCCCUGUAGUC
rnacentral:rRNA from 1 species